CCCUUAGAUGUUCUGGGCUGCACGCGUGCUACACUGAUAUUGCCAAUAUGUCAUUCUUAUCCGAAAUGGAUUGGGUAGUCAAGUAAUGAAAUUUCAUGCUUGGAAUCGGUAAUUGCAAUUUUAUCGUGAACGAGGAAUUCCUAGUAAGCACUAGUCAUCAGCUAAUGUUGAUUAUGUCCCUGCCCUUUGUACACACCGUCCGUCGCUACUACUGAUUGGGUGUUCAAGUGAGAUGCUUAGACCCUUGUUGCAUGGUUCAUUAUUGUGCUCCGAAAGGAAAAAGUUUCAAGCUUGAGUGUCUAGAGGAAGUAAAAGUCGUAACA
rnacentral:rRNA from 1 species